CACGUCAACCGCCAGUUGGGGCAGGAUUUGCCAGUUUUUCAGCAUCCUCAUCAUCCUGUGCAUCCUCAUCAAAUAUGGAGGGUGGAGUGAGCAAAGUAAAUGUGAAUACUUUCAUCGGUAACAAAGCGUAUGUUGUUCUUCGUCUGAAGAAGGGCAUACCCACGGAUUUUGCUGAAAAAGUUAAGGCGGCAAUGAAAUCAAAAAAAAAAUACAAUCUCUUGUUCUACAACUGUCUGCAUUUUGCUCUUGAGCUGCUGGGGCUAACCACACGGUCUCUUCCAGAACGAUGUUGAUGUCAACGGGAGCAAGAGAAAUAUUGUGAAAUGUUGUUUAAAUAAAAAUUAAACAUGUAUUUUGGGCCAUAUUGCCCCACACAAUGUUUCCCCGGCAAUUCCUUGCGCCGUGUCAUGAUUAAGUAAUGUAACCAUGACAGGAUUAGAGGCUACCACAAUAAUUCAUCAUUUUUUUUAGUUUAUAAUUGAUUACUCUAUUAUUAUUUGCCCUCUUCAUGGUAUUACACCCUUUCCCAGUCUUAAUGAUUAAUCCAUUAUUUUUACUAUAAUGUUUGCUAAUAGCACUUGUUGUCUUAUUUUCCUUUUUUAAACUUGUAUUUUCUGUAUUAUCAAUCUAAAAUACUAUUUUAUUUGUAUGCUUUCUCCCCCACCCCUUGUCACAAUGAUAAACACACACACACACACACACACACACACACUCAAUCACAGACACAUGAAUGCAGACAUUCAUUUAGAAGUUUUCCCACUCGUCCACCAAUUUAGCUACUAAAAGUAUAAGUUAGCAGCCAUUUUUUAACUUCUACUAGCCACAGAACAAGCAAACCGUUGUGUGAGUACUAGGGGUGUGCAGUAUUGAUAAAUGCUAUCACUGAUAAUUAGACAAUAUUUUGAACUGCUAUCUUAAGGACUGCUAGCUGACUCCUAAUGUUUUUGAUACUAUGUGUGGUCAGCCUACAACACUCUAAUAAAUGUUUUUAAAUUUAUACAAUCUUUUUUUUUUUUUUUCUAUUAUUUUUUUAAGUAAUAUUUCUUAUUUUCUUUA